UAAAAGGCGAUGGAGUUCGCCUGUAACCGUUUAUGGAGAAAUUUAAUCCGUAGACUGAUGACUCCUGUU
rnacentral:ncRNA from 1 species